UUACACAUGCAAGUCGAGCGGUAACAGGGGGUGCUUGCACCCCGCUGACGAGCGGCGGACGGGUGAGUAAUGCAUAGGAAUCUGCCCAGUAGUGGGGGAUAGCCCGGGGAAACCCGGAUUAAUACCGCAUACGCCCUUUGGGGGAAAGCAGGGGAUCUUCGGACCUUGCGCUAUUGGAUGAGCCUAUGUCGGAUUAGCUAGUUGGUGGGGUAAAGGCCUACCAAGGCGACGAUCCGUAGCUGGUCUGAGAGGAUGAUCAGCCACAUCGGGACUGAGACACGGCCCGAACUCCUACGGGAGGCAGCAGUGGGGAAUAUUGGACAAUGGGGGCAACCCUGAUCCAGCCAUGCCGCGUGUGUGAAGAAGGCUUUCGGGUUGUAAAGCACUUUCAGUGAGGAGGAAAACCUUCUGGUUAAUACCCAUGAGGCUUGACGUUACUCACAGAAGAAGCACCGGCUAACUCCGUGCCAGCAGCCGCGGUAAUACGGAGGGUGCAAGCGUUAAUCGGAAUUACUGGGCGUAAAGCGCGCGUAGGUGGUUUGAUAAGCGAGAUGUGAAAGCCCCGGGCUUAACCUGGGAACGGCAUUUCGAACUGUCAGGCUAGAGUGUG
rnacentral:rRNA from 1 species